UGUACAUCUGUCGUUGCUCAACAGCAACAGCCAUCAAAAGGGCAAGAGGUUAAAGCAGACUUCUGACAGGUUUCUGACGACCAUGGAUCUUCAUUAGGAUUAGGGUCCAUCCUAUGGGUCCAUCCAGCAAACGCUGCCAAAGAUCCAUCUCCAGUGUCGAUGCCGACCAGCACAUGAACAAACAGAGAGCCUCUGAAUGAGUGUAGCAGUCAUUUGCAUAGGAACAAUCUAGCGUGCAUGUUGUGCCUCAACAGGAGUCGACUGUGAUCACCCCAGUGAAAAC